AUACUCUGAUUUCUUAUCAGAUCAUAUAAAUCUUUCUCAUUUUACUAAAGAUUUCCGUGGAGUAGUAAGACACAUGAGCAGCAAUACUAGAUGCAAAAGAAUAGCGAAUCUGUGUUCAGCAAGGUCACUAGCUA
rnacentral:snRNA from 1 species